rnacentral:lncRNA from 1 species
AAAACGGCCACGACCCUGCUCCACUUCCUGUGGCGGACUCCGCGCAGUUCCAUCAUUCCCUGACAGGCCGCAGUAACCAUCGCCACCCUGCUCCACUUCCUGUGGCAGAUCCCGCACAGCUCCACUAUCCCCUGGCAGGCCACAAUAACGGCCACGAACCUGCUCCACCUCCUGCGACGGAUUCCAUGCGAUUCUCCCAUCCGCUGGCG